AGAACAAGGCGUAGCCAAGGACAACUUGCCGGAGAACAGGCAGGCUUGUAACAGGGUGCAUAUGCUGCCUUGUAACAUAUGCAUGCACAUAUCCGGCAAGUCAUCCUUGGCUGCAUUCUGCUCUCU
rfam:Sorghum bicolor cultivar BTx623 chromosome 10, whole genome shotgun sequence.